UACAGAGGUCUCAAGCGUUGUUCGGAUUCAUUGGGCGUAAAGGGUGCGUAGGUGGCGCCGUAAGUGGGGUGUGAAAUUUCGGAGCUUAACUCCGAAACUGCAUUCCAUACUGCGGUGCUUUGAGGACUGGAGAGGAGACUGGAAUUUACGGUGUAGCAGUGAAAUGCGUAGAGAUCGUAAGGAAGACCAGUGGACGAAGGCGGG
rnacentral:rRNA from 1 species